CCCGGGUCUUGUACACACCGCCCGUCACACCAUGGGAGCGGGUUCUGCCAGAAGUAGUUAGCUUAACCGUAAGGAGGGCGAUUACCACGGCAGGGUUCGUGACUGGGGUG
rnacentral:rRNA from 1 species